UUUGAUCCUGGCUCAGGACGAACGCUGGCGGCGUGCUUAACACAUGCAAGUCGAGCGGUAAGGCCCUUUCGGGGGUACACGAGCGGCGAACGGGUGAGUAACACGUGGGUGACCUGCCCUCCACUCUGGGAUAAGCCCGGGAAACUGGGUCUAAUACCGGAUAGGACCACUGAUCGCAUGGUUGGUGGUGGAAAGUUUUUUCGGUGGGGGAUGGGCCCGCGGCCUAUCAGCUUGUUGGUGGGGUGAUGGCCUACCAAGGCGGUGACGGGUAGCCGGCCUGAGAGGGCGACCGGCCACACUGGGACUGAGACACGGCCCAGACUCCUACGGGAGGCAGCAGUGGGGAAUAUUGCGCAAUGGGCGGAAGCCUGACGCAGCGACGCCGCGUGGGGGAUGACGGCCUUCGGGUUGUAAACCUCUUUCGCCAGGGACGAAGAGCAAUUGACGGUACCUGGAGAAGAAGCACCGGCCAACUACGUGCCAGCAGCCGCGGUAACACGUAGGGUGCGAGCGUUGUCCGGAAUUAUUGGCGUAAAGAGCUCGUAGGCGGUGUGUCGCGUCGGCCGUGAAAACUUGGGGCUUAACUCUGAGCGUGCGGUCGAUACGGGCAUCACUUGAGUUCGGCAGGGGAGACUGGAAUUCCUGGUGUAGCGGUGAAAUGCGCAGAUAUCAGGAGGAACACCGGUGGCGAAGGC
rnacentral:rRNA from 1 species